UUCUAAUUCUUGGUUUGAAUUCUAUUCGUUAAUGGGUUUAAUUAAAACUAAAGUGGAAAUCUGAUAUUAAGGAAGAAUUGUCGUUGGAGUGGUGUAUAUACAACGAGCUUGCUUCACAAAGGAUUUAUGCGAUAGCCAGGAUUAGACGAACUUCACUUGCGGGAAGCUCAACUUCAAGUUCAGCACUUGGAUGUAAUGUAAAUGAAGGUUCAGAAAUUUGGUGAGAUUGCAAAACAACCUAUGUCGGAAGGUGAUAAUUCCGCAAAGUCUGUUGACCGCAAAUUAUCAUAUCGAUUGUUUUACCUCAAUGUAAUUUUUUCGUAGACUGAGUUCAACUGAAUGAUAUCAUUAAUGACAUAUCAGACAAGAGCUCAACUCAUAUAUAUCAUAUGAGCAAUUGAAGAGUGAACGAGGAAGCCAUGGAUUGGAGAGUGAUUACUAUUUACUGGCAUUGAACUUUUCCCUCAACGAAUGAGCUUUUCCUCUGUAAAGGGAGAAGAUAAGCAAAUUUUAUAAAAGAUUUGGAGUAUUUCUUCUCCUUUAUGUUCAAAUUUUUUUGUUUUUGCACAGGCAGAAGCAAUAAUCAAAAACGAAUAUACAUCACUACUUGGAGAUGAGGCAAAGGGUUGGUUGGAUACCACAUAUCUGUCCCAAUCUGGCAAUUUUCGUAUCUCAAGAAGAAAUAAGUGCAGGGAACAACAUUUGUUCUGCAAGAGAGAGCUGAACUUAGGCAAAGACUAUUGUCAAUCAUGUCCACUGGUACAAGAGUUAAAGAGGUAAUCGAGGAGUUUAUUUCCUUAUAUCAAAGUAUAGGUGAAUUGGAACUCCAAGAAGGGGAAUGGGAAAUGGUUUGGAGUUGACAGGUUAUGUUUCUUUCCAAACAAUAAGUUCGGUUCGGUUCAGUCUUGGUCUUUGCUGUGGUUCUUCGUGUCGCUUAGAUUGAUAGUGAGGGAGAUUGUUGAUCGGCAUAGACAGUUUGGCGGCAUAAAAGGUAACUUCUUUAUGUAAAUUUUUCGGUCACUUGUUGGGUACGGUCCUUCGUGUGUUUUUCAUUCUUUCUUUUGUUAAAGGAUCACCAAAUUUCAUAUAUACAGAUCUGUAUCUAUGAAUCCGUCAGUAAAUAGUAUUGGUGUGUUUUUCAAUCAUCAAAUUAGAUAUUUGCUGAUUCAGAUCAUGUUCUUCAUGCCUUGGGAAUCUUAUUUCUUCACCAUAAAAUGAGAUAGAAUGUUCAUGUAAUAAUUUACAGAUUUCAGAAGUUGAUAUAGUUAGGUCAGAUUUGCACAUGACAUAUAUAAUCAUCGAUCAUUUGUUUAUCUAUUUAUUUGUUCUCUUUGUUUUUUGUGGGUAGUUCAAUUUUUCAUCUUUGAUUUCUUUUCCUUCAUGAUAUUAAUUGUUGGUUGAUGGUAUAUGUCAAGAAGGAUGAUAUAACUAUUUGACUUCUGGUGUUUUUUUAAUUUCUAUGAUCAUGAGUAUGAUCAUGUUUGAGAACUUCAAAACUUUGAACCAAAUGAAAGAUUGUCCUUUAAAUCUAUUUUCAUCCACCUUAUGUUGGAACAAAAAAAAAAAUCAUAGGAACUGCGGGUAGCCCAAAUGAACCAGCACCUGACACUCCCCAUUGACACAUUUCAUAUUUGUUGGAGCUAUCCUCUCCUUUUGAAAAUGGUUUGUAGUCAUCUGCAAUGUAAUGUGCAUGCUAGCAUUGGGGUCUAGGUUUUGAUCAGGUACUAGACAAUAACUUUAUAGGAUUGUGGUGCUUUUUUGUAACAAUAUCUCUUUAUUUGAAGCUAUGAUGAAAUGCUUAUGAUAUAGAGGGGCUCAAUUUUAUAGCGUGAUCUAAGUUUUGAGAAUUUGUAUUUGACUUGAUUCUUGGUAUUAACCAGUUUACACUAGAAUUUCACAAAGCUUGAAUAAUGAUAACAAUGAGAGCAAAGAACUGGUGCUCCCCAAUUCCAUUAAAAACCAGUGGAGUAAUGGCUUUCAUCACCAUUAGUUUAAUACUAUUAAAAUACUUAUCUUCAAUUAAAUAUAUUAAUCUCAGCCCCCAGCCUUAAAAACCAGUCGUGUGUGCAGCGAUGGCUUUCAUCACCAUUAGUUUAAUGCUAUUAAAAUACUGAUCAUGCUUAUCUUCAACUAAUUAUUAAGAUACUGAUCAUGCUAUUUUACACUGAUGGAUGGACCAGAAUAGUGGCGUUAGAAAGUAAAGCAGGUUUGAGUUUUAACCCUUUUUUAUUUUAUUAAUCUGGUCUGUGGUAGUAUGUAGUAGUACCUUUAUUGAACUGAAGCAUCACUGAUGCAACAGCAGCAACUUCAUAGGAUUGUGGUGCCCUUUUGUAACAAUAUCUUUCUAUUUGAAGGACAAUACUUGCAGAACUGAAGAAUAACUUUAUAGGAUUGUGGUGCUUUGUUGUAGCAAUAUCUUCUAUUUGAAGCUAUGAUGAAAUUUUCAGUCUAAAAGAAAGAAGAUCAGCUUUGUUUCUUAUUCUCUGCUACUUGACUUCAGUUAUGUUGAGCUAUUGGAUUUUGUGUUUUACUGUUGUUGUGAUUGUCACAAGUUUGGUUAGAAGCUGCGUUUUUUUCGUGCGGUCCGAGUCUUGGCCUCUGUGUCCGGUUGUUGCUGGGUUCUGAAGAUCUUUGUUGGCAAAACGAAUAUCAAUAGAUAUGGAAACUUGCUCAAACGCAGUGUCAGAUCCAAUGCCUAAGCGGAGAAAAAGUUAAGAGAGAUUUACUUUUGCAAAAUGCUGAAAGUGUUGAUAAACGCAAACGAAGAAGGACUACAUCUGCUGAAACAAGCUGCAAUUCUGGUCCGAGUAUGUCCAACAUUCAAGAAGUUGAAAAUGUCGUUUCACAUGAACACAGCAUUGGACAAGCGUCAUAUGAAAGAAACAGGCAUGGUAUGGGUCUUAACAUUUUGUUAAUCCUACACUUAUCUUCGAACAUAAUAAUUUCAUUCCCUAUUUGAUGUCUUGAUUGACCUAAAGCCAAAAAAGACAGUACCUCAAUUUGUAUCCCUUCCAGCUUGCCACUUCUCUCUUUCUGAGUUAUUAACUACUUUAUUCUACUUUUUAUCUUGAUAAAAACAGUUUCCAAAAUUAACUUUACUACCUGCCAGAACCAAAGUUCUUUGUAAAGUUGUAAGUUGUUGAAUUGCUCCUCUAAUUUCUGCUUCUGCCAGACACUUCAAUCAAAUCUGUAUAUAGACAACCUGUAUAUAUAUUCCCAUUUUUUCCACAACAUUUUUCCUCAUGUGUAUUUCCACCUUUCUUUACUCUUCUAUAAUUUCUUUUGACAGCUUCUAACACAUAACAAUCUCCUGUAUAUAUAUUCCCAUUUUUUCCAAAACAUUUUUCCUCAUGUGUAUUUCCACCUUUCUUUACUCUUCUAUAACUUAUUUUGACAGCUUCUAACACAUAACAAUCUCUUAAUGAACGUUCCUUUCACUCACAAACAAUCAACAAUCAGUUCCCGCGGCAACGCGCGGGCCUAACUUCCUAGUUCUACAUAUACUAAAUGUGGUUGCCCUGUUCAUCACUGUUCAUAGGACAGUGGAGUGACGGUUUUACCCUCCAUUUUUCUGCUGUCGUUCAAAAAGCUUCUCAUACGUUUUUGCCCUCCUUUUUUCCCCCUGCUGUUCUACAAGUUUCCCUAUUGUUCUACAAGCUUUUCUCAUUCGAUUGUUGCCGACGAAAUAAUUUAGAGAGAGAGAGUGUGUGUGUUUGUUCGCUUUGCAAGAAGAGAUAGACAGAUCGGUUGUUGCUGUGAUUGACAGUUGUGUCAGUCAGAGCCAGGAUCUUCGAUCUAAUCUUGGCCAAAUAAAGGAGGUACUUCUAAGUUAGAGUGAAAGAUCAGUUGAUUAAUUGAGUUAUGAAGAAAGGGUUCUAGGUUCUGGACUGUAUUCUGGUCACUGAGUUUGCAAACUCUCCUACUCCUUGCUGCAGGGAGCGUAAACUUCACCAAGAGUGCUGCAACAUAGAACGCCAAAUUUGAGCAAGUACCAGAGAUGACCCGAACAAACAGAGUGCACUAAGUAUACCUUGAGACUGAUGAACUCAAGUGGGGUUUUGGGCUGUGGGGACCGCCAAGAGCAUGUUGGAGGUAUAGGCCAUGCUAGAGAUGUGUGUCUCAAUUUAUAUUAGAUCUUCUGUAAUGUCAAGAAAGUGUUGUGCAGGGUUUGUUAAUUGAAUUGUAUAAGAAUAAGGAUUCUAUCCUUGGGUUACUUAAAAAUAAAUUUUCAGAUAAUAUAAUUACUGAAAUUGAAUAUUAUAAGCAGCACGGGGUUUUGUAAACUUAAAACUUGUAAGCAGUAUAUAUGGUUUACCUGAUCUUAUAUCUUCUCCAA